AACGAACGCUGGCGGCAGGCCUAACACAUGCAAGUCGAGCGAACCCUUCGGGGUUAGCGGCGGACGGGUUAGUAACGCGUGGGAAUAUACCCUUUGGUACGGAAUAGCCUCGGGGAAACUGAGAGUAAUACCGUAUGUGCCCUUCGGGGAAGGAUUAUCGCCAAGGAUUAGCCCGCGUUGGAUUAGGUAGUUGGUGGGGUAAGUGGCCUACCAAGCCUACGAUCCAUAGCUGGUUUGAGAGGAUGAUCAGCAACACUGGGACUGAGACACGGCCCAGACUCCUACGGGAGGCAGCAGUGGGGAAUCUUAGACAAUGGGCGGCAAGCCUGAUCUAGCCAUGCCGCGUGGACGAUGAAGGCCUUAGGGUUGUAAAGUCCUUUCAGAUGGGAAGAU
rnacentral:rRNA from 1 species